AUAAUACUCACAUGCAAAUGUAGAAUCACUCCAAAAUAGUUCUUCAAAAGCUCAAAUACAUAAAAGAAAAACGUAAAUACAAAAUAACAGUGCAAGAACAUCUUUGACUAAAUAAAAUGCAUAAUAUCAGACUACUUUUGGCAUUCAGUCAACCUGCACAAAGUGUAAAGGGACACUAUAGACACCAGAACAACUACAGCUUAAUAUAGUUGUUCUGGUGAGUAUAGUCUGUCCCUGCAGGCUUUUUAAUGUAAAAUACGAUCUUUUUAGAGAAAAGGCAGUGUUUACAUAACUGCCUAGUAACACUUUCAGUGGCAGUCACUCAGACAGCCACUAGAGGUGCUUUCUGGGUAAGUGCUGCACAACGUAGAGCACUGACGUUCAGCAUCUACACGCUCUGCAUGGAGACACUGAUCUUUUCUCAUAGAGAUGCAUGGAUUCAAUGCAUCUCUAUGAGAAGAUGCUGAUUGACACAGAGUGAUGUUUUGCCG